AUACCUACGGGGGGCAGCAGUGGGGAAUCUUCCGCAAUGGGCGCAAGCCUGACGGAGCAACGCCGCGUGGAGGAUGAAGGUUUUCGGAUUGUAAACUCCUUUUGUUAGAGAAGAUAAUGACGGUAUCUAACGAAUAAGCACCGGCUAACUCCGUGCCAGCAGCCGCGGUAAUACGGAGGGUGCAAGCGUUACUCGGAAUCACUGGGCGUAAAGAGCGCGUAGGCGGGAUAGCAAGUCAGAUGUGAAAUCCUAUGGCUUAACCAUAGAACUGCAUUUGAAACUGUUAUUCUAGAGUAUGGGAGAGG
rnacentral:rRNA from 1 species